rnacentral:lncRNA from 1 species
ACAGCAUAGAUGUUAAGGAAUAGGUCCCAAAAGAUCUGUCAGCAAUGAAGAAACAAAUGAUUUACAGACUCCAGGCUUUCUUCAUAGAAAAAAUAUCUACUGCAUAAGGAAAAAUCUCUUCUUUAUAGCAUAUCUUGGGUAAGAUCUAUUCUAGGCUAUAGUACAUCCAAAUCCAGCAACUUUUGUUGAUUCUUUGGUCAUCAAAAGCAUCUUCCAUGGUCAUGAUUCCUCCAGCUUCCAAAGCCUCCAUUUCAUCAAUGUUAAACUCUCCUAAUAUAUAAAGUUUUACCUCUUUUUGAAAAAUCCCUGUCUUCGGACCUUUCCUCUACUCUCCCCUCUUCUUCACUAAGCCUCUCAAUUAACCCCCUCAACGCCUCCUUUUGUAAACUUUGAUCUCUUUUAUUUUCCUUAAUUAAACCCACAUUUACCUUCAUGUUAGUCUAAUAAUUAGGGAAAAUAUCCUUGUUUAUUUAGUUCAUCACUACUCACAAUUAAACCCACAUUUACCUUCAGGUUAGUCUAAUAAUUAGGAAAAAUAUCCUUGUUUAUUUAGUUCCGUCAGAACUAUUAUUAAUGAAAAUUAACACUGAACUGAAGCUAUCACUACUCAUAUUUGUCCAUAUCAUCUAGCACUUUCUAUGUUCUAUUGCGUAGCAUCCUUCAUUGGUCAUGCUUAAAUAUUUUACUAUCCUAUUCAAUCGAGUUUAUGACCCUUUUGUUAGAACAAACAACGUUCUAAAGUAACUUAUGAUUAUUAACAAUUUUUAUUAGUAAAACACAAAGAGGAAGAAAAUAAAGUUCAAAUAAAUGAAUUCCUGAAAAAGCACAUAGCUUAAGACAUACAAAGUUAAGUAAAUUAAUCUAUACAUGCCAUAUACAUGAAUGUCACAUUGAAAACAUAAAACAGAAUUAAGAAAUAAGCAAUAAUCAACGAACUCCAAAUGAAUACAAUUUGUUUCAAACGAGGACCAAAUGAAAGAUGGAAUCGAAGGUAAAAAUAAUUUCCUACGAAAUUCCGAAUUAACUCCAAAAAUAAGGUAGCGAAUACAAUUAACUUUUGACCGAAUGUGAACCUAUUUAACCUCAAAGUCAUACAACAGAAUCUUAAAAUGGAUCAUGUCAGCUGAAUACAUUCCAGAUUCUACUCAAAAGAUCGACUUUACAAAAAGAAUCAAUCUCAUAAUCUAAUUUGAGUAACGUACAGAAUCUUAAAAUGGAUUAUGUCAGCUGAAUACAUUCCAGAUUCUACUCAAAAGAUCGAAUUUACAAAAAGAAUCAAUCUCAUAAUCUAAUUUGAGUAACGUACAAACCACAAUAAUUUGAAAUUAAGAUAUAUGAACAAGAGUAAGAAGAAAAGACAAAAACCUGGAAAAUGAAACUGAUAAUGGUUUACCUGAGUUAAUGUCCUGCCAUGGGCAUAAUAAGAAGAUCAACGGUACAAGUUUUCUCAUACUAUACUCUGUAUCGCCCUAGUGGGAUCUUGAAAUAGAGUGUCUGACAUAUUCCUUCACUUGAUUCUCUCAAUCCUAUAUAGCAGAGGUAGUUGGUAACGCUUGAGAGAAACUGAGAAAGAGCAGCAAACAAGGGAAAUUUAACAAUCUCGAAGCAGAGUUGGUCGGCCAAAUAAAAGGAUAUGAACGAAAUUACAAAAGCAAACUACAGAAGAAAUUGAUCUAUGUGCAGAAUAAAUUAUAAAAACCUAAAGGCAAAAAAAAAUGGAAGAAUAAAACUCACUCUAUAACUAUAACAGUGUCUAACUAUAAAAUCAUAUACGGUGAGAUGGAGAAGUAGUCCUUCAAAAUUCCAGAAAGAUAAGAACAAAAGAAGUUAUUGGAGACCGAUCAUUUUCAGUCGUGGAAUAAGCUUAGCGCAAAUCCAUAUGUCGUUUCAAUGGCAAAGAGAACAACACAUGCGGCAAUCAAAUUGUUUGGUGCCAUCAGAAUUGGAUCUUAGUUCAGUCGGAGAACUCGUCGAGGAAGGAACAAAGCUGGAUUGGAAGACGAAUGCAGAAGCAGAUGGAGAAGGGCAAAAAUGUAAUAUCCCGUGCAUGUGAAUCGCGCCAUAUCCUUGAAGCAAAUCUUUGAGUGACUCAUGAGAAACUUAAUAUAAGCAAAUUUACGAAUUUGC